UUAGUUGCCAUCAUUAAGUUGGGCACUCUAGAGAGACUGCCAGGGAUAACCUGGAGGAAGGUGGGGAUGACGUCAAAUCAUCAUGCCCCUUAUGCUUAGGGCUACACACGUGCUACAAUGGGUAGUACAGAGGGUUGCCAAGCCGUAAGGUGGAGCUAAUCCCUUAAAGCUACUCUCAGUUCGGAUUGUAGGCUGAAACUCGCCUACAUGAAGCUGGAGUUACUAGUAAUCGCAGAUCAGAAUGCUGCGGUGAAUGCGUUCCCGGGUCUUGUACACACCGCCCGUCACACCACGGGAGUUGGAGACGCCCGAAGCCGAUUAUCUAACCUUUUGGAAGAAGUCGUCGAAGGUGGAAUCAAUAACUGGGGUGAAGUCGUAACAAGGUAGCCGUAUCGGAAGGUGCGGCUGGAUCACCUCCUUUCUAAGGA
rnacentral:rRNA from 1 species